UCCGUUAAAUCCAACGGCUCAACCGUUGGGCUGCGGGGGAUACUGCUGGGCUAGGGGACGGGAGAGGCGAGGGGUAUUCCCGGGGUAGGGGUAAAAUCCACUGAUCCCGGGAGGACCACCAGUGGCGAAGGCGCCUCGCUAGAACGUGCCCGACGGUGAGGGAUGAAAGCUGGGGGAGCGAACCGGAUUAGAUACCCGGGUAGUCCCAGCCGUAAACGAUGUAGGCUCGGUGUUGGGCUGCCUCAGUGGCAGCCCAGUGCCGCAGGGAAGCCGUUAAGCCUACCGCCUGGGGAGUACGGCCGCAAGGCUGAAACUUAAAGGAAUUGGCGGGGGAGCAC
rnacentral:rRNA from 1 species